rnacentral:rRNA from 1 species
GAUGAACGCUAGCGGGAGGCCUAACACAUGCAAGCCGAGCGGUAUUGUUUCUUCGGAAAUGAGAGAGCGGCGUACGGGUGCGUAACACGUGUGCAACCUGCCUUUAUCUGGGGGAUAGCCUUUCGAAAGGAAGAUUAAUACUCCAUAAUAUAUUGAACGGCAUCGUUUAAUAUUUAAAGCUCCGGCGGAUAGAGAUGGGCACGCGCAAGAUUAGCUAGUUGGUGAGGUAACGGCUCACCAAGGCGAUGAUCUUUAGGGGGCCUGAGAGGGUGAUCCCCCACACUGGUACUGAGACACGGACCAGACUCCUACGGGAGGCAGCAGUGAGGAAUAUUGGUCAAUGGGUGCAAGCCUGAACCAGCCAUCCCGUGUGAAGGACGACUGCCAUAUGGGUUGUAAACUUCUUUUGUAUAGGGAUAAACCUACCCUCGAGAGGGUAGCUGAAGGUACUAUAAGAAUAAGCACCGGCUAACUCCGUG